UACGAAGGGGGCUAGCGUUGUUCGGAAUUACUGGGCGUAAAGCGUGCGCAGGCGGCCAUCCAAGUCAGUGGUGAAAGCCCGGAGCUCAACUCCGGAAUUGCCAUUGAAACUGUUUGGCUCGAGUACGAGAGAGGUGAGUGGAAUUCCCAGUGUAGAGGUGAAAUGCGUAGAGAUCGGAAAGAACACCAACGGCGAAAGCACUCUGCUGGGCCGACACUGACACUGAGAGACGAAAGCUAGGGGAGCGAAUGGG
rnacentral:rRNA from 1 species